AUCUAUACAAUUGAAUAAUAAAAACUCAGUGCAGAAUUACUGAACCAGUAAGCUGAGGUGCGAUGGACAUGAAAAGGUCAGGACAAACAACGAAACAGGGAUACCUGUGGAUAGUCACUGUUUCAAUAAUCGUGAGGUUAUUGAUGGAGAGGGUGGAACCCCAAACCUAAGUCGUAGCGCCUUUGCUAUUGCAAGUAAAAGCAGAGUGCGAGUCGAGUCAUAAUAGAAGCGGUUGUUAAUAGCUUCCGCCGAAUCGGAGUUAGGUGCUAACGAGUGGUGUCGAGUACAAACCUACGAAAUACCAAUAAGGCUUUUGUCGUGAAGCGAAGAAAUUCGUGUAUAAGGCUUGCAUGUCGCGUACGAGUAGCUCAAGACAAGACUCAGGAAUUAGAAUAUAAGUUACCAAGUUGAUAAAGGGUAUUUAAAAAUUCUAUGCCGUAAGGUGAGUGAAAGUUGUGGGUAACCAAUCCCGCAUGGGACGAUGGCUUUGGAGAGGUCUCCAGCUGGGGUAUGUUAGGUCAAAGUCGCUCUUUGGUCUUCGGACAUAUCUCCCCAUUGGCUGAAUAUACUUGAAGAUAGCAUAAGGUAGGGUGAAAAUCCUUUAUUAUUCGAUAAAUACU
rnacentral:sRNA from 12 species